ensembl:lncRNA
AUAAUGUUGAGCGAGAAAGAAAAGAGAAAUCCAACGGUGAUUAUAAAGACAGUUAUUAACAACUGUCAUGCACACAUGUAAACUACUAGCAUGUUUUAACUAGAAGGCUAAGCAGGAUCUGUCUAACUAGUAAUUCCAGCCUGAAUGCACUCAGCAGUACCACACCAGGACUCACAGUUAUAAUGUAAUUCUGCCCCCAGCUGGUUAAGACAUAGCUGACAUAGGAGACUGAAAGGGAGAGAAUAUUGAACCCAUGAACUCUGCUUCUUCUCAGAUGAUGACUACAAUUUGCAUGCAAAGUAUCAGCAGCUUUACUGUUCAGCACAGGUGCUAAUAGAUUCUAAGUUCUUUAUGUAUAAUUGCAGCCUAUCCUUAUCUCCCAGGGAAGAAGAAAAACAAAGGAAAAAGAAAAGUAAGGCAAUAGAAAAGCAGGGAGAUAAGUUAUUAUUAUUACCUUUUGAAACAAAAGCUUUCAUUCACCCUUCAACCUCUUGCCACUAUCUUCUAUCAUAUUUCAGGACAUCUCUUCUGAUGCAGCAGAAGAAUAGAUUACAAAUACCUUCAAAUUCAUCUAACUUACUUUCUAUUCCAUAUAUCACCUUUUCAUAUGCAGCUGUUUCUGUCACAUCAGCAAUGCACUACCUCAGUAACAGUCCUGGUGCAUCCUCUCAGGUUCUUGUUUUCAACACUGUGAGACUAAACGGGUCAACGUCAUGAAGCUUAGCCCCCGUAUUUAGGCUCUGUAUAUUCAAAUAGAUAAGACUGGCAAGAAAAUAUGAUGUAAGUGGAAACAAGACAAAAAGAAAGAAAAUGGAAAAAGUUAUGGUGAAAAAAAAAAAAGUCUAGAUUUUAGCAUCUAAGCUUCAGUGCAAAGUACAAACAAAAUGAAAUGGUCCCUCUAGUAGAGCCCCACUGAGUGAUACAGAGUCUGGUAACUGCUGCUUUGCAGUUUCCUGCUGUCUCCAUUUCCUGGCAUCCUAUGCGAGCUCAGAGGAGAGGACAGCCUCAAGAACAUAUGGUCUGCCUGAGACCUGCAGAAACUGAGAAGACCUAACUGGACAUUGUGAAAUUUUGCAGAGGGUUAUAGCAAUAUAAGUAUUAAAUGAAUCUAGGAAGUGUACACCUCAAGAAGGUGGAAUUAUAAAGCAGAACAGCUACUGAGGGUGCACAUUACUGAAGCAAGGGGAUAUGACAAUUCAACUCAUAUCCCUUGACAAAAAAUCUCUGGCAUAGGUUUGGGAAGAGGACAGAAAGAGAAGGAACAUUGUUUGGAGGUGGGUGAGGCACAAGUCCAGUAGGUGCAAAUGACUUAACAAAGAAUGCUGCAAACUCACCAGAUUACUCCUUGAUGAAGUACUGACCACAAGCUGAGGAUAUCAAAAUAGAAGCGUAAACACAUGCCUGAAGUAAGAAGAAGCAGACCUAGCCAGCCACACUGUGAAAUGACUGGGUAUCACAUAUUUAUCAGAGGCAGGGUGGUACAACAUGGCUGGGUUUCCUACCUACUGGAUGAGGUGUGGAACCCUGGUCAAUAUUUGCUAACUCCGAGGACACAAUUACCCUGCGCCCAACAUACAAAACUUUUGAAAUCCUCCUAUAGUUGCUUUUAAAGGUUUAAUUUCUUUUUCGCAUUUUCCUAACAGCAACAGUACUGAUUUGCAAUUUUCUCCAGAAAAUAAAUAAAUAAAACAUGCUGCA